rnacentral:rRNA from 1 species
AGAGUUUGAUCCUGGCUCAGAACGAACGCUGGCGGCAUGGCUAAGACAUGCAAGUCGAACGAAACACGCUUAUAGUGUGUUGAGUGGCGAAAGGGUGAGGAAUAGAUAGGAACGUACCUUUGGCUCCGGGAUAGCUUAUCGAAAGGUAGGGUAAUACCGGAUAAUGUGACUUGUUACCAAAGAUUUAUCGGCCGUAGAGCGGCCUAUCUCCCAUCAGCUAGUUGGUAAGGUAAUGGCUUACCAAGGCUACGACGGUAGCGGGACUGAGAGGUUGGCCCGCCACAUCGGGACUGAGACACUGCCCGGACCUCCACGGAGGGCUGCAGUAACGAAUAUUGGGCAAUGAGCGAAAGCUUGACCCAGCAAUGCCGCGUGUAGGAUGAAGCCUUUCGGGGUGUAAACUACUUUCAGGGUUAAGAAAGUGCGCUUCGGCGCAUUGAUCUACCCCAGAAGAAGUCACGGCUAACUUCGUGCCAGCAGCCGCGGUAAUACGAAGGUGGCAAGCGUUGUUCGGAAUAACUGGGCUUAAAGCGUGUGUAGGUGGAAUGGUCAGUGUUUUGUGAAAUCCCCCGGCUUAACCGGGGAAUUGCUUGGCAUACUGCCAUUCUUGAGGUCGGUAGGGGUGCGUGGAACUCUUGGUGGAGCGGUGGAAUGCGUAGAUAUCAAGAGGAACGCCCGUGGAGAAGUCGGCGCACUGGGCCGAUCCUGACACUGAGACACGAAAGCGUGGGGAGCAAACAGGAUUAGAUACCCUGGUAGUCCACGCUGUAAACGAUGCCUACUAGGCUACGGAAGUUCUGACACUUUCGGAGCCGCAGCAAAAGCGUUAAGUAGGCCGCCUGGGGAGUACGGUCGCAAGGCUAAAACUCAAAGGAAUUGACGGGGGCUCACACAAGCGGUGGAGCAUGUGGAUUAAUUCGAAGCAACGCGCAGAACCUUACCUGGGUUUGACAUGUUUGGAUGGUUGCCUGGAAACAGGUUAAUCUGCCCUUCGGGGUGAAACUUACACAGGUGCUGCAUGGCUGUCGUCAGCUCGUGUCGUGAGAUGUCGGGUUAAGUCCUUUAACGAGCGAAACCCUUACCGUUAGUUACCAUCAGGCUAUGCUGGGGACUCUAGCGGGACUGCCGGUGUUAAACCGGAGGAAGGUGGGGAUGACGUCAAGUCCUCAUGGCCUUUAUGCCCAGGGCUUCACACGUGCUACAAUGGUCUGGACAAAGCGACGCAAUACCGCGAGGUGGAGCAAAUCGCAUAAACCAGGCCUCAGUUCGGAUUGCAGGCUGGCAACUCGCCUGCAUGAAGUUGGAAUCGCUAGUAAUCGCGUAUCAGCUAUGACGCGGUGAAUGUGUUCCUGAGCCUUGUACACACCGCCCGUCAAGUGAUGGAAGCUGGGAGUACCCGAAGUCGGCUUGCUAACCUUUUAGGAAGCGGUCGCCUACGGUAAGCUCGGUGACUGGCACUAAGUCGAAACAAGGUA